GCCCAAUCGCCUCCCCCCUAUCCCUUCGUGAUGUUUCUCCUCUCAUGGCUUCGUUGAUCUCCAUCGGAUUCAUAUUUCUCCUCAGCAGCUGAAGCCCCUAUCAACCAUUCCCUUAGUUGCCACAACCCUCUCCCACGUAGUGGCACCGGAAGCCCUCUCUCGAUUGUCUCUCAGCCCUCCUUUGACGCAGCUGUCUCUCCCAUUUCGACGGUAGUAAUCAAUGCAUAGAGUUGGAUCUACAAGCAAGAAAAAAUGAAGUGGAAGGAAGGAGAAAGAGGUCAAGAAGAGACCCGGCGAUAUCGAGAAUAUGGAUUGGACUUUUGUAAUUGGUGUGUUUUUUUAUUUAGUGACUUCGUAGUAGUGUAGUUGGUGUAUGUGUUAGAAGUUUAUUUAGAAUGUAAUGUAAAUACAAUGUAAAUAUUGGAUUUGAUGUUUGUUAAGCUUUGUAGAAUGCAAUUAUAUUAGCACUUCGUUGGUCU